GCCUGUCUAGUUCAGUUGGUAGAGCGCAAGGCUCUUAACCUUGUGGUCGUGGAUUCGAGUCCCAUGAUGGGCG
rfam:Capsicum annuum cultivar Zunla-1 chromosome 12, whole genome shotgun sequence